GCUUUCUGAUGAAUUCAUUGGCUGUGGGAUUGGGACCAGAGGGUAGUCUAGCUCCUAGAGGCUAGGACUUGCACCGUGACCCUCCAUCUCCAGAGGACAGUUUGACGGAUUUUUCUGCCACGAGUGCACACUCUGAAAGCAGGAGAUUGAAUUAGUUCUCAAUAAUGGGAAGAACCUACAUUGUGGAAGAGACUGUUGGCCAGUAUCUUUCAAACAUCAAUCUCCAAGGAAAGGCUUUUGUCUCUGGCCUUUUAAUAGGACAGUGUUCUUCACAAAAGGAUUAUGUGAUUCUUGCCACUAGAACACCACCCAAAGAGGAACUAAAUGAGAACCUCAAACAUCCCAAAGCUAAGUUGGAUAACUUGGAUGAAGAAUGGGCCACAGAACAUGCUAACCAGGUAUCCAGAAUGCUACCGGGGGGACUUUUGGUUCUUGGAGUAUUCAUUAUUACUACUCUAGAACUGGCAAAUGAUUUUCAAAAUGCCAUGCGCAGACUAAUAUUUGCUGUGGAAAAGUCUAUGAAUAGAAAGAGACUGUGGAAUUUCACAGAGGAAGAGGUCUCAGAACGAGUGACACUUCACAUUUGCUCUUCUACAAAAAAAAUAUUUUGUCGAACUUACGAUGUCCAUGAUCCAAAGAGUUCAGCAAAACCAGCAGAUUGGAAGUAUCAAAAUGGAUUAUCAACCUCAUGGCUUUCUUUAGAGUGUGCAGUUCACAUUAAUAUUCACAUUCCACUUUCUACUACUUCUGUCAACUAUACUUUGGAGAAAAAUACAAAGAAUGGACUUACACGCUGGGCCAAGCAAAUAGAAAACAGUGUUUAUUUGAUUAAUGGACAAGUUAAAGAUGAAGAUUGUGACCUAUUAGAGGGACAGAAAAAAUCUUCCAGAGGAAAUACUCAAACUACUAGUCAUUGUUUUGAUGUCAGAGUGCUAACACAGUUGCUCCUAAAUUCAGACCACAGAUCCACAGCCACGGUCCAGAUAUGCAGUGGUUCUGUAAACCUCAAGGGUGCUGUGAAAUGCAGAGCUUAUAUUCACAGCCAUAAACCCAAGGUUAAAGAUGCUGUGCAGGCAAUGAAGAGGGAUAUAUUGAACACGGUUGCUGAUCGUUGUGAAAUACUAUUUGAGGAUCUGCUUUUGAAUGAAAUUCCAGAAAAAAAAGAUUCUGAAAAAGAGUUCCACAUCCUCCCUCAUCGAGUUUUUGUCCCAAUUCCUGGAUCCACUGUAAUGUUAUGUGAUUAUAAAUUUGGUGAUGAGUCAGCUGAAGAAAUCAGAGACCAUUUUAUAGAGAUGUUAGAUCAUAUGAUUCAAAUAGAAGACUUGGAAAUUGCAGAGGAAAUAAACACAGCUUGUGUAAGUUCUUCUAUGAAUAGUGAAGCUUCAUUGGACAACACAGAUGAUGAACAACCAAAACAACCAAUCAAAACUACAAUAGUACUGAAAAUUCAGCAAAACAUAGCCAUGCCCAUUGUAUUACUCUUUGGAGUUGUGGGACUUAACUGAAGCAUCCUCUGGAUUCUAGAAUAUAUAGGGUGGAAUUCAAGCAAGACAGCUUUUGCUACUAUUUAGAGUUCAUCACAUGAGCCAAGAGGUUAACUGAUGGACCAGCAGCAUCAGCAUCACUGGGGAACUUCUUGAAAAUGCAAAUAUUUGGGUACUACCCCAGAUCUACUGAAUCAGAACCUAUAAAGAUGUGGAUUGUCAGGCUCUGAGAGAUUCAGUGAAUUGACGAAGCUCACAGAGGUGGUAUGGAGUCUAAAAGUCUCAGAUCAAGAUCUAGCAGGGCCAGUUUCUGGUGGGGGCCCUCUUCCUGCCUUGCAGACGGCUGGCUUCUCACGGUGCCUUCAUAUGGCAGACAGUAAGUGAGCUUUCUGGUGUCUCUUCUUGUAAGAACAUUAAUCCUAGAGAGUCAGGGCCAUGCCCUUUGACCUUAUUCAACCUUAAUUACUUCUGUAAAGGUCCUAUCUCCAAAUAUAGUCACAUUUGCGGUUAGAGUUUCAAUGUAUGAAUUUUGGGGAGGAUAACAUUCAGUCCAUAGCUCCUGGUUCUUACUUUUGUAAAGGGUAAAUUAAGCUAUGUAGAUGCUGGGUCCACUAUUUCUAUGCCUCCAUAGUCUACCUUUUCCUUAAUUUCUAAAGUUUUGGAGCCUCUGGAUCUUUUUUCAGGGAACCUACCCAUUAGAAUUGCAGUUAGGGAGAUGACAAUCCCUAAAAUUAACUCUUGGGAUAUCACAGAAGAUCUCACAAAAAUAUAGGCCAGGAUUCCCCUCUAUGUUAGAUAAUACAAAUGCCAGUUAUUUCCUUGGCCAUUUUCCUGGGUUGUUUUUAUGUCCUAAGGAAAAUAUUGAUGUUCUAUGCUAACUGCAAUAGAAUCUAAGGUAUUAUUCUAAAAGUAAAUCAGCAGACUGAUGCAUAGACUGAGGAUAGAGUAUAUGUGCUCACCUUAGUCUAGGUCAGAUCAAAUAGCUAGUAGGAGACCUAAAAAUAUAUUGUAUAGCAAUAUUUUCCACACAGAGAAAGAAUAUCUUUAAGAAUUUUAAUAACUAUUAUUUUCCCUUGAGAAAUAAGAGGCAAAUGCUCAAUAGAAGUAAUCUAUUUUAUGUAGGAGGGCUGAGGUUCAGGUAAAUACAUAUUCAUUCAGUUUUUCUCUUUGCAGAUUGUAAUUAGAGGUUUUCAAUGCCUUAAUCUGGUAUUGGUUUCCUAACUACAGAGUAAAGAGGUUAAACAACUAACCAUUAAAUUACCUCUCUACCUUUGACACACCUGACAUCUUUCCAUGGACAUGCAAAAUGCAGAAAACAUAGAGCAUUGAAGUAGCUCCAAUGUGAAAUUUUCAUAGUAAGACAGUUUUAUGUUUUUGUUGCUGUUGUUAAAUUUAAAAUAAACAAUCUUCCUUCUUUUGUACACAUGGAUGCAUAUAUUCCCUUUUGGAAACCAAUGGAGUGAGAAGCUGCUUCAGAAAAGGUGCUGUACUAAAAAUAGCAUUAUUGUGAGUGAAUAUGAUUAAACAUAGGACAUAAAUAAAUGACUGGGAAUCAGGUACUGAAGUGAAAUUUUUUAAAAAU